AUCAUCAGUAGCAGGAUUGUGGCCAAUGAGGUUUAUCUGAGGCACAAUUAUUGCUAAUUGAAAAUAGUGAUCAUUUUCUC
ensembl:snRNA U4 U4 spliceosomal RNA